rnacentral:lncRNA from 1 species
AUGGUAGGAUACAUUUGGUUCUUGGAGCUCAUGGCUUCCCUGGCUAUUACCAUUCUUACGACCCCUCAGUAUUAUCUGUCUGAUCUUCUGCUUUGGACCAUGCUUGUUUUGCUGUUUUCAAAAUUUCUUGCAGGAAGGCGUGAGGGCAUUUACCAAUCAGACACUCACGGAACUCGUCACGGCGGGGUACCAGCCUCUGCAGCAGAGGGAAGAACCCCUCACCUACUGCUGCUCCCACCAGAUCCAGACUUUUUCUGGGAGCUGGCGGGGAGAAAUACCAAGAAGAAGAAGAAAAAGAAGAAGAAGAAGUAGGAAAAGGAACACAAGAUGGGGAGGAGCAGAAUUGGCUGAAGUGGCUGGAGUGGGGAAGGAGCCCUGUGCAGCCUUGUUGCACUCACGUUGGGGUGAAGAAUGGCCAGCAGUUUGAUAGCCAGGGAAAAGACUGAAGCAAACCGUCACAGUCAUUUGAGGCACACGGGGAGCAAAAGGACAGAUAGACAGCCACUUGCCAAGUCACACUCCCCCAUAGCCAGCGUGGGGACAAAUAAGUGAGCCAGACAUUUCUCUGUCUCUAAAGAGCUGGAAGAUAAAAAAGAGGUGGCGAAGUUACUAGGAAGCAGGAAUUGUUUAUAAAGGAAAGCAAAGAAAUGGCAAUGCAAAACCCAAGCCAGGCAGGCAGGCAUAACAGGUGAAAGGUUCUGGGGGUGCAAGUUUCAUGGAUGAGGAUUUCAGCUCACUGUUGUUUUCUAGUGACAUCCCGUCAGAUGGUUUUUAAGUAACUAGAACCCUAAGGAUGUCAAAUUGUAACUCUAGAGCACUGUUUCUCAACCCUGGCUGCAAUUAGGGGUUUUUAAAAAUACCAAUGCCAAGGGUUCCAGCCCCAGGCCAAUUAAAUCAUUCUCUUGGGGUGCAGCCCAGUUCUCAGUGUUCUUUAAAAGCUCCCACAAGUGAAUUUAAUGUGCAGUGAAAGGUGGGACUUACUAGGCUAGAGGGGAGUAUCUGCUGUACACUGCGCUCAAACUUCAAUGCUCAGAGGAAUCACGUACAGGAUCUUAUUAAAAUGCAGAUCUUCCUCUCUCUCUCUCUUUCUUUCAAUGGUUUUGGGGAUUGAACCCAGAGUCUUCCCAUUGAGUUACUUAUUUCUUUGUUACUUUGAGACAAGGUUUCCAUAAAUUGUCCAGGCUAGGCUUAAACUUGUUCUGCUUCCUCAGCCUCCUGAGUGGCUGAGGUUACAGGCAUAUGCCACCAUGCCUAGCAAAAAAGUAGGGUUUUAAUUAGUAAAUCUGGGUUGGAGUCUAAGAUUCAGAACUUAUAAUAAAUUCCCAAGUAACAUUAUUAGGGUUAAGCACCAGACCAUCUUUAGAGUAAUAAGGCUCCUGGAGAAUGCUACAACAUUCUCUUUCUGGCCCUUUUCUGUUCAGAAAUUUAUAUGUGAUUAAGAUCUACAUAAAUGACUAUUAAAAGUGAUUGUACAGAAAAAGAAACAGCAAACAAUUGUAGAAUUAAGAUUCAAAACUGUUUCCACAAGCUGAAAUAAACAAUAUGAAAUUUAUUUCUAGGCCAAGGCAUGCCUAUAAUCCCAGCACUCGGGAGGCUGACCAGUAGGACCACCGAAAGUUCAAGGCAGCCCGGGCUACAUAGUGAGAUCAAGACCAGCCUGUACUACACACGGAGAUCCUGUCUCAAAAAGCAAAAAACAAAAAAAAAGAAAAAAAAUUAUUUCUUAGAAGGGACAACUUAAAGUCUACCAUAUAAGUAUAAUGAUUCUGAAAAAAGAAAGAAGAUACUAAAAUAUACUGUAUUAUAAAGUGUUAUGGCCUGUAUCUAGAUGUGCCCCCAAAGCCUCAUGCAAUCACAGAUGGGGCUUUUUAGAGCUAGCUGGAUCUAUAGUGUGAUUCUGGGAUUAAAGGUGUGAUGAUGAGAUUAAGGAUGCCCCUGGGUGGAACUGCCCAGAAGGUGGGUAGCCUAGAUGGAUUAUAAGGACACAGAAAGAAGUCAGGUUGCUGCUGCUUCUGUUGCUGCUGCUGCUGCUGCUGCUGCUGCUGCUUGAUACCUUCUGCCUGCCUUGCCAUGCCAUGGACUGUUUCUCCUCUGCAAUGGCUCUGGGCCAUGCUGCCCUGCUUUAGAACCAGAUGACUAGGAACUGAAACCUGUACAACUGUGAGCUGAAAUAAACCUCCUUUAACUUGUGGGUGUGGGGUAUUUUUUCUCAGCAAUGACGUAAACAUAAAAUAAUAAUAAUUAAUUAAAACAUAAACUAAUAAUAAUUUCAAAGUUGGUAAUGGCUAACAAAUACACAGAUUAAUUAAACUGAAGAGUAGAGGGAAUUUGAAAUAUGAUAAAAGUGGCUAUUUAAUGGAGUAAGAUUAUUCAAUUAAUCAAAUUCAAUAAAAGAAAGGCAAGAGAACCCCUGAAUGCUGUAAGCAGAGAUUGAUGAGCAAUUCAGGUAGGAGCUCAGAGAAUCAGAAUGCUGAUAAAAAUAUGAACAAUAAAGACUAUACUCAUGAAUUUUCAGAUAGGAAUGAGGUUCUAUUACGAAUUUGAUUAGAGACCAUGCAUGUUGCAUUUUUGGAAAGAAUUUGUCUACGUUAUUUGCUUCCUAAAACUUUGUGUGAAGCUUAGUGUAAAAGUAAUGGACUAAUUGAUACAGUGGAGAAAAUUUCAAGGAAGCCUAAUAAUAAGCCCAUGGCAUGGGUACUGCUAGCUGCUUUUAGCCAGACUUUCAGUGGAAAUAAGGAGCAAAUAGCAGAGCAGAAAGAUCUGAAAAACUUUCAGUUUGGCCAGAAAAGAAACAUAUAAAGUUAGGAUUAAAGGAGGUAUGGUUGCUGAAGAAAUUAGUGCCAUUAAAAAGAAACCAAAUACUUUGAACUGGGACAAGAUGUCUUAAGAGCAGCUCAGGAAUCAGCAAGACCUCGGGCUAGAGGACGUAAAAGUGUAAAGUUGUUGAAAUGACUUAGGUUUGAGAAGAGAGCCCCAGGGUACCCUGCUCACUCAAGGCUGCCUAGUAAAGUGUUUCCUCGUAUUCAACCAUUCAGGCACUUAAGAGUCCACUGCAGCUGUGGUCCACAGGGGCCUGGCUACUGCUUGCACUAAUGGCAUACCUUGGCAUUGUUCAUGUGAUGCUAGUUUUAUAGGCAUGUAAAAGGCAAGGGCUGUGGGGUCAUAGAAGCUUCCACCCAGACUUCGAAAGAAGGCCUGGAAGGCCACACAAUAUGUCAAAAGGUCCUGCUCAGAGCCUCUGAGAAGUCAUUGCAUGAAGCUGUGGAAAUGAAUCCAAAGCUGCAGUGGAGACUCUAGGAAGUUGGAGAUGUUAGAAAUGUGAAACAUCUGCUGAGGAAAAGACGCUUUGGUGCUGUUUGAAAAGUUUUAUCCUUGGGAAGAAGCAGCUAUCUUUGUGUGAGGGGCUAUCUUCUAGAGGGCUGCCACUACUCUGCCUCUAGCCCUCCAGCCCAUUUUUGUUUGUUUUUGUUUUAAGAGAGGGUCUUGCUAUGAGUUCAGACUGGCCUUGAAUUCAUUAUGUAGCCCAGGCUGCCCUUGAACUUGAGGUUAGGAUUACAGGCAUGGGCCACAAAAAAAAAAAAAAAAAAAAAAAAAUGGCUCAAGCUAAGGUCAUGUGGGCUGCAGCUGGGAAGGACAAAGGAAGGUGGCUGCACAAGCCCUAUGGAACUCACCUCAUGCCACCAUGUACCCUAGAUUCAGGGCAUGGAGCUACAGGAUUUAAUAUUUGCCCUGUUGGGAUUUAGUUUUGCUUUGGUCUGAUUCAUCUGUAUUCCCCUAUUCCACCCUUUUAUGAUGGGAAUGUUUAGCCAGUGCCACUGUGUCUUGACAUUAUUUGACUUUUUUUUUUUUUAAACAAGGACUCACAGCUCAGAGCUGUCUUAAGUCUCAGAAGAGACUUUGGACUUAAAUUUUAAGUAAUGCUGGAACUUCUGGGACUAUGAGGAAGGAAUUACAGCAGUACAUUUCAGUUGUACAAAUGUAUACCUGACACAAGCCACAACCAACAUGAACAAACCUUGAAAACAUUAGCCUAAAUGAAAGAAGCCAGUCCUAAAAGGUCACAUUCAUACAGAAUAUCCACAAGAGGAAAAUCCAUAGAGGUGGAAAACAGAUUGGUGAUCUCAAGUGGCAGGAAAGGGGAAUUGGUAGCAACUGCUAAUGAGCAUGGGGUGAAGAGAAUGCUUUGUAAUUAGAGAGUGGUGAUAUUUGCAUAAGUUAAUGUAUAUACUAAAGUAUAUUGAAUUGUACACUUUAAAAGUUAAAUUUUAUGGUAUGAGAUUUUUCUUCCUCUGCAGUACUAAGGAUUAAACCCAGGGCUUUUCCAAUGACUUACAUCCUCAGCUCAUUCUUAUUAUUAUUUGUUUUAAAUUUUGAGAUGGGAUCUUGCUAAGUUAUUAAAUUGCCCAUAUUGGGCUUAAACUUGCAAUCCUACUGCUUCAGCCUCUAAGAGUGCUGGGAGUACAGGUGUGCACCACCCAUGUCUGGCUAUGGUAUAUGAAUUUUAUCUCAUUUUCAAAACAGUGUUUAUCAGAAUUUUGUCAGAAGAACAUCAUUAGUGGCCUUGACAACAGUAGCUUUAGAGAAAUGUUAGUGGCCAGAUUGUUUGCAGGGGGCCAAAGAAUAGGUGGGGCCAGGUGUGGUGGCACAUGCUUGUAGCUCCAGCAUUCAGGAGGCUGAGGCAGGAGGACUGCCUUGAAUUCGAGGCCAGCCUGGGCUAUGUAGUGAGUUUAAAGCCAGCCUGAAUUACAUAGGGAAAUAUUGUCUCAAAAAACAAACAUAAAUGGGAAAUGAAGAAAUAUAAACAGUGAGUAGGCACAACUCUCUCAGGGCUGGAGGUGUAGCUCAGCAGUAGAGUAUGUUCAUUGGGUACAGGAGGUCCUAGAUUCAAUCUGUAUCAUGUGUAAGCAUGCGCGUGUGCGCGCACACACACACACACACACACACACACACACACACACCUCUUGCCAGAAGGUUAGAUGAAAGGAAGAACAGGGCAGUAGCAAAAGGAUCAAAGGCCAAAGAAGAUUUGAAUAUUUUUAGUUUCUGCUUUUUGGCUUAGGCUAAAAUGGUAAUAGAC